rnacentral:rRNA from 1 species
ACGAACGCUGGCGGCGUGCCUAAUACAUGCAAGUAGAACGCUGAAGGAGGAGCUUGCUUCUCUGGAUGAGUUGCGAACGGGUGAGUAACGCGUAGGUAACCUGCCUGGUAGCGGGGGAUAACUAUUGGAAACGAUAGCUAAUACCGCAUAAUAGUAGAUGUUGCAUGACAUUUGCUUAAAAGGUGCAAUUGCAUCACUACCAGAUGGACCUGCGUUGUAUUAGCUAGUUGGUGGGGUAACGGCUCACCAAGGCGACGAUACAUAGCCGACCUGAGAGGGUGAUCGGCCACACUGGGACUGAGACACGGCCCAGACUCCUACGGGAGGCAGCAGAAGGGAAUCUUCGGCAAUGGACGGAAGUCUGACCGAGCAACGCCGCGUGAGUGAAGAAGGUUUUCGGAUCGUAAAGCUCUGUUGUAAGAGAAGAACGAGUGUGAGAGUGGAAAGUUCACACUGUGACGGUAUCUUACCAGAAAGGGACGGCUAACUACGUG